rnacentral:rRNA from 1 species
GAGACUCUGUGCGCGUGCAUAUCAAUAAGCGGAGGAAAAGAAACUAACAAGGAUUCCCUUAGUAACGGCGAGUGAAGCGGGAAGAGCUCAAAUUUGAAAUCUUCAAGGUUUUACCUUGACGAAUUGUAGUUUAAAGAAGUAUUUUCUGUUGAAGUUUUGGUAAAAGUUCUUUGGAAUAGGACAUCAUAGAGGGUGAGAAUCCCGUAUUUGACCAUUAUUUUCAGCUGUGUGAUACACUUUCAAAGAGUCGGAUUGUUUGGGGAUGCAGUCCAAAAUGGGUGGUAAAUUUCAUCUAAAGCUAAAUAUUGGCGAGAGACCGAUAGCGAACAAGUACCGUGAGGGAAAGAUGAAAAGAACUUUGAAAAGAGAGUUAAACAGUACGUGAAAUUGUCAAAAGGGAAGCGUUAGACACCAGUGUUGUUUAGUUGAAAAUCAAUUCAAUAGUUUUUGAUUCUAAGUAGUAUUGACUUCAUCAGCUUGCUGCUUUCUUCUCAGAAAUUAUUGAAUGCACUUUUCAGUUAACAAGUCAACAUCAAUUUCUUUUGUUGUAAAAGGGUAAGAGGAAGGUGGCUUGCGCUUCGGCUCAAGUGUUUAUAGCCUUUUAUCUCUGCAAUCGGAGAGAUUGAGGUCUGCAGCGUAGAUCCUUCGGGGUUAGAUACAUUGGUGCUAAGCAAUAGCCUUGUAUAGACAACUUGUUGACUAUGCUCAGUCAUGUAGCUUACUCGCUGAUGCUAUUUUACCUACGCUUAGGAUGUUGAAUCUGUGCGAGACUAC